rnacentral:rRNA from 1 species
AAUAGAUACCCGGGUAGUCCACGCCGUAAACGAUGGGUACUAGGUGUAGGGGUUUCGAUACCUCUGUGCCGCCAUUAACACAAUAAGUACCCCGCCUGGGGAGUACGGUCGCAAGAUUAAAACUCAAAGGAAUUGACGGGGGGCCCGCACAAGCAGCGGAGCAUGUGGUUUAAUUCGAAGCAACGCGAAGAACCUUACCUAGACUUGACAUCUCCUGCAUUACCCUUAAUCGGGGAAGUCCCUUCGGGGACAGGAAGACAGGUGGUGCAUGGUUGUCGUCAGCUCGUGUCGUGAGAUGUUGGGUUAAGUCCCGCAACGAGCGCAACCCUUAUUGUUAGUUGCUACCAUUUAGUUGAGCACUCUAGCGAGACUGCCCGGGUUAACCGGGAGGAAGGUGGGGAUGACGUCAAAUCAUCAUGCCCCUUAUGUCUAGGGCUACACACGUGCUACAAUGGUGAGUACAAAAGAUGCAAGACCGUGAGGUGGAGCCAAACUUUUAAAACUCAUCCCAGUUCGGAUUGUAGGCUGAAACUCGCCUACAUGAAGCCGGAGUUGCU